rnacentral:rRNA from 1 species
UACGAAGGGUGCAAGCGUUACUCGGAAUUACUGGGCGUAAAGCGCACGUAGGCGGCUUUGUAAGUUAGAGGUGAAAGCCCGGGGCUCAACUCCGGAAUUGCCUUUAAGACUGCAUCGCUCGAAUUGUGGAGAGGUAAGUGGAAUUCCGAGUGUAGAGGUGAAAUUCGUAGAUAUUCGGAAGAACACCAGUGGCGAAGGCGACUUACUGGACACAUAUUGACGCUGAGGUGCGAAAGCGUGGGGAGCAAACAGG